AAGUCGUAACAAGGUUUCCGUAGGUGAACCUGCGGAAGGAUCAUUACAGAGUUCGUGCCCUUCGGGGUAGACCUCCCACCCUGUGUAUACCGUGCCUUUGUUGCUUUGGCGGGCCGCCUUAUGGCCACCGGCUGCGGUCGGUGCGCGCCCGCCAGAGAACCCAAAUCCUGUAUUACUGUGUCGUCCGAGCACUAUAUAAUAGUUAAAACUUUCAACAACGGAUCUCUUGGUUCUG
rnacentral:misc_RNA from 1 species